rnacentral:lncRNA from 1 species
AAGCAUGACUAUUUCUAGCUCUGGGAUGAAUUUUGUCCCCUGAAGGCUUUUUUUCAUGGACUCUAAAAUGCAGUAAGUUUGUUCCCUGCGUGAUGCAGUAUACCCUAGAGACACAGCAGAGCUCUACGCAAAUUGCUGCUACAGAAGCACAGAAGAGAAGGGGCAGAAAGAAGUACAAAAGAAGAGAAAGGAUCUCCUGCAAAAGAACUUCAUUGGCAAGGCUGCGCUUGUGCCAACCCCAACUCUAGCUAAUGCUCUAACUAAACAGAAGUUUGGAGCGCUUUACUUUGGUUCUUUAUGUUACAUAUCAGUGACAUAACAUUAGGCUCGCCUUCAUUUCUCUUCUUUUGGUCUCUGUCCCCUCUUUUCCCGUCUGUCAUACCUCUUUCCUCCCUCCCCAUUUUUUCUUUACCUAAUUUUCUUUCCUUCCCUUUUCUUCUUUUCAUCUCUAUUUAUAGCUUAGGCAGAUGUCAUAUUUGGAAUCCUCCCAUAUCUACUUCCCAAGUGAAGGUUCAUGCACUUACCCACCAUGCCAGGAUUAACUGUUAUUGAAAAACUACAUUGAGUGCUACCAAGAUGCUUUAAUCCCUCGCUUCUAACACCCUGAGUUAAAACUCCAGAUCCCAUGUAAUUCAGAAUAAGAAAAGGCUCUAGUUAUCCUUUCAUUUGCACGCCUAUGCCCUCACAUGUGACUAACUACUCACACCUAUGUGCUAUGCACAUGUACACAUGCAAUAAUAAAAUAAAAUAAAAUAAUUCUUCAAAAUGA